rnacentral:rRNA from 1 species
UACGGAGGGGGCUAGCGUUGUUCGGAAUUACUGGGCGUAAAGCGCGCGUAGGCGGCUUUGUAAGUUAGAGGUGAAAGCCCGGAGCUUAACUCCGGAACUGCCUUUAAGACUGCAUCGCUAGAAUUGUGGAGAGGUGAGUGGAAUUCCGAGUGUAGAGGUGAAAUUCGUAGAUAUCGGGAGGAACACCGGUGGCGAAGGCGGCGACCUGGGUAGAUACUGACGCUGAGGCGCGAAAGCGUGGGGAGCAAACAGG